rnacentral:rRNA from 1 species
AUUGAACGCUGGCGGCAGGCUUAACACAUGCAAGUCGAGCGGGAGAAGGUAGCUUGCUACCGGACCUAGCGGCGGACGGGUGAGUAAUGCUUAGGAAUCUGCCUAUUAGUGGGGGACAACAUCUCGAAAGGGAUGCUAAUACCGCAUACGUCCUACGGGAGAAAGCAGGGGAUCUUCGGACCUUGCGCUAAUAGAUGAGCCUAAGUCGGAUUAGCUAGUUGGUGGGGUAAAGGCCUACCAAGGCGACGAUCUGUAGCGGGUCUGAGAGGAUGAUCCGCCACACUGGGACUGAGACACGGCCCAGACUCCGACGGGAGGCAGCAGUGGGGAAUACUGGACAAUGGGGGGAACCCUGAUCCAGCCAAGCCGCGUGUGUGAAGAAGGCCUUAUGGUUGUAAAGCACUUUAAGCGAGGAGGAGGCUACUUUAGUUAAUACCUAGAGAUAGUGGACGUUACUCGCAGAAUAAGCACCGGCUAACUCUGUGCCAGCCGCCGCGGUAA